rnacentral:lncRNA from 1 species
UGCAUCCAGAACCAUAUUUGCAAUGAAAUCUAAGCAUUGGUUAGGAAUAUUCCAAUUCGACUUGCAAGCUAAAAGCCUCACACACAUUGAUAAUGUGGAAUCUGAUGCUCCUUCAUACAAAGGCGUAUUUGCCUCCAACAAAAGGUUAUAAAACCUUUGAGUUUCUUCAUUUGGAGCCUCUUCCAUGUUAGAAGAAUUUGAUGCUUGGAAGGGUUGUCUUUGCAUAAGAGCAUCAUGCACCAUGUCUUCCAUCGUCAUAACUUGUUCAUUUGGUUCACCU